rnacentral:SRP_RNA from 2 species
GCCAGGUGUGGUGGUGCACGCCUGUAAUCUCAGCUACUCGGGAGGCUGAGGCAGGAGAAUAGCUUGAACCCGGGAAGUGGAGGUUGCAGUGAGUGGAGAUUGCACCACUGCAAUCCAGCCUGGGUAACAGAGCAAGACUCCGUCUUAA